GAUGAACGCUGGCGGCGUGCCUAAUACAUGCAAGUCGAGCGAACGGACGAGAAGCUUGCUUCUCUGAUGUUAGCGGCGGACGGGUGAGUAACACGUGGAUAACCUACCUAUAAGACUGGGAUAACUUCGGGAAACCGGAGCUAAUACCGGAUAAUAUUUUGAACCGCAUGGUUCAAAAGUGAAAGACGGUCUUGCUGUCACUUAUAGAUGGAUCCGCGCUGCAUUAGCUAGUUGGUAAGGUAACGGCUUACCAAGGCAACGAUGCAUAGCCGACCUGAGAGGGUGAUCGGCCACACUGGAACUGAGACACGGUCCAGACUCCUACGGGAGGCAGCAGUAGGGAAUCUUCCGCAAUGGGCGAAAGCCUGACGGAGCAACGCCGCGUGAGUGAUGAAGGUCUUCGGAUCGUAAAACUCUGUUAUUAGGGAAGAACAUAUGUGUAAGUAACUGUGCACGUCUUGACGGUACCUAAUCAGAAAGCCACGGCUAACUACGUA
rnacentral:rRNA from 1 species